AUUUACUCAAUGUCAACAUCCAUCACGGACAAAAGAGAAGCGUUUCAGUGUAAUCCAAACCUCCUUCCUGUCAGAUGAAAGCCUUGACACAGGCCAUUCAGCUCCCAGGUUGCCACGGAAAAGAAAAGGACAUGGAGCGAGAAAACCCGAGACGCUUCAACACACACACACCCCGUGUUCGUCUUCCAGCCAACAAUUCAGACUCUGUAGACCUGGAAGAGAGAUGAAGCCCAAAAGGUGCAAAUCACCCAGCCCACCGACCAACAACAAGGAACAUCAAUGAGAUGAGCUCGAAUAAUCUGGGCUCUGAGAGCCCACACUCGGGCCCUCAUGACCACUGAGUAUCAAGAACGGUACCACCCCCCCUCACUGCUACAAGGCCAUGGUCACAACCACCACGCAGAAACACCCGUACCAUGCAUUGAAGGGGACUGCUGUGGAUGUGACAACCUAUAGAGCUUUCUUUUUGGCCCAGAAGGCGAUAAAAACUCCACCCAAGCCCCAAGAACCAUCGCUGCCACCAAAAAAAACAAGAGAACUGCCAGUGCAACUGACAGUUCUUCAAACAAACAGCAUACACAGUAGAGGACUACAAGACCGUGUACCAGUGAGCAGUUUGCACAUCACAUCAGUAUCGUGCAUUUUAGAUCUAAAACAACAAAUACAUUGUAUGUCAUGUUCCAAAUCCAUUUUCACUGCUCUUGCUAGGCUAGGAAUGCAUCUCCAACGGGAAUGAAAAAUCCAGGAGGUUCUGGCUGCAUGGUUUCUAGAAAAACUGAAGUUUUUCUUGAGAUCAGGUGGAUUUCCGGCCGUUGCUGUUUUACCUCAGGUUGUUUCUGCCUUUAACAACAAUAAAAGCCAUAAAUGAA